rnacentral:tRNA from 1 species
GCCACGGUGGUUUAGCGGUUAGAACGCUGGCCUUGUAAUCCUGGGGUCCCGGGUUCGAUUCCCGGUGGUGCCC